GACCGGGCCGGCGGCGGCUCCGCUAACGCGGCGCCCCUUCUGCCAGCCGUCCGGCCCGCCCCGGUUCGCUGAGGGCCGCGAUGUUCCCUGCGCUGCCUCGGAACGGCGAGGAGCUGCGUUCAGGGACGGCAGCGCCCAGUCCCGCAGCCCUGCCGCGGGGCGCCGUCCCACGCGGAGGGCACCGGGCCCGUGAAGUAGAAAGUCCGCAUCGCGGUUUCCCUUUGGCAUCGGUGCAAUUAACCCAAACACGUGUGGAUUUAGGUCAGACCUAUUUUUCAGAAGCGCAUGAAGCUUUAGAUGGAGUCCGGGAGCUGGCAGGCGAUGAGCCGUGUCGUCUGGACCACCAGACCAGUGCCGUGGCCAAGUGUAUCAAAGGCAUUGGUUGACUUGAGAACAAGAUCUAGGUCCCCAGAGGGCAUGAAGGUUGCCACAGGUUACCAUCCAUGCUCACCAGAAACAAGGUGAACACAAGGUUGCCUUGCUUCAUCAUACUGCCGAGAGACGCUUUGGAGAAACUCCAUCCCUAUGUUGCAGCUGACUUGGACUCUGUCUCUGAGAAGGCCUGACACAGCAAGCAUACAAGAUGUCACAGAACAGCUUCCAUUCUGAAGAUGCACGGUCAGGAAGCAGCAUGAUUUCUGCUACAAAGACUGGGGCUUUAUCCUGGAAGGAGGAGAACUAUUCAGCAGCCACUGGGAAGAACAGUGAGGUGAAGCAGAGUAGUUUCAUUUCUCCAUAUUUUGUCGCCAUUAUCAAUUAAUAAAAAUGGAAGUGGAGGAGGGGAAGAAAGACUGACCAAGAAGACGCUCUUUCAAUUAAGUUCUGAGUGUGCUAAUAGUGCAACUUGUAUAAGUAAAUUGCUGAGCACUAAGAUGCAGUGAGUAAAGACUAGCAUUCAGACAGUAUGAUGGAAGUUUGGAUGGAACAUUGAUGCUAGUUAUGCUAUUCCCGUGAAGCAUUGCAAAGAUGUUCUGAACACUGCUGAGGUUAACUAAGCCAAUUCCUCACCCCCAGUGAGAAACCAACUUAUGAAAGGUUAAGGCUUUCAACUUAUGUGCAAUGGUCAAGACAUUCUGGUAGGAAGAAUGCUCUGAUCUCUGGCUCACAGUUGUGGUUCAGCUAUUGCACAAUACUGUCCAAAACUAUAGUCUGCUACAUUCCUUGUUAUCCUAAUACGAUGUCUGUUAGUAAUUCAGACAGUCCCUGUCCCA